rnacentral:piRNA from 1 species
CAACCCUCCGGCUUAUCGUGCGUGCU